GAGAAGGGAGGAGUUAUUCAGGCCUCCGCCAGCUUCUAGGCCCUGGGGAUGGUCUUUCACCUCCCUCUUUCUGAUCUCUUUUUCAUGCUCCUCCUUGCUCCAAAGAAAAGCCGGAUGGCAAAAGAGCCCAGAACCUAUUGGAACUGACAAAAUCAAGUCACGGCGCCUACAAAGAUGAGGGGCAGAUUCUGGCUGCCUUUUAAUUUCGUCCUUCACCUGAUAUCUGUGCCAGAGAAUGUCUUCCAGGAGUUCUGCUACAGAGAAGAGAGUAACCCCCAUCCAUCAUGGCCAAAGCACCCAGUCAGGCUCCGCUCUGGAUCCAGCCCGACAAAUGCAACCCUUGAAUAGGGUUUGUGCAAGCAAACUGGAUGACGACCGAAGAAACCCUGUCGCUUCUGAGAAGACACCCAAUCCAAGAAUGAAAGCAUCAGGUUCAAUACCUAGGAACUCCUGUAGAGGGUGUUGUGGAAUCUUCUUUAAAAGAACAAAACAAGGCAAAACAAAGUUUAAUAGGGUAGAGCAGCCAGGUGUGGUGGGUCAUGCCUGUAAUCUCAGCAAUUUGGGAGGCCAAGGCAGGAUCUCAGCAAUUUGGGAGGCGAAGGCAGGCAGAUCACUUGAGCCUAGGAGUUCAAGACCAGCUUGGGCAACAUAGCAAGACCCUGCCUAUACCAAAAAAAAAAAGUGAACCUAGGAGUAUGAGGCUGCAGUAAGCUGUGGUUGUACCAGUGCACUUUGGGAGGCCAAGGUAGGCGGGUCUUCUGAGAUCGAGAGUUUGAGACCAGCCUGACCAACAUGGAGAAACCCCGUCUCUACUAAAAGUACAAAAUUAGCCGGCAUGGUGGUGCAUGCCUGUAAUCCCAGCUACUCGGGAGGCUGAGGCGGGAGAAUUGCUUGAACUCAGGAGGCAGAGGUUGUGGUGAGCCAAGAUCGCGCCAUUGCACUCCAGCCUGGACAACAAGAGCGAAACUCCAUCACAAACAAACAAACAAUAAACAAAAACCAUAGAGUGAUUUCUGGCCAACAGAGCAAGAAAGAAGUGAACCAAUGAAAACCGGUCCAAGUCUGGGAGUCAAUAUGGAAAAGCUGCCUAAUUAAUGUGGAAGCCCCAGGGAAAUGAUAUACCAUGAAAACCUAACACUACAAAAACUAGUUGUCAGACACAUGUGAGCAGUGAACAGAAUCCUAAUAUGCUGGUUUAACAUUCAAAACUGGAGAGUGUUUGUGUAUCUUCUAAAGACUGUUUGGGGUUUAUUUGUGGAGUUCAGCUGAGUGUCAUCAGAACAAAGAUUAGUGCAAAAAAUCUUUCAGAAAUCAUGCCCAAACAUUUGCAUGCACCUUAAAUAAGAAAUGAAAUAGCAAGAAGAGUAUGUCACAAUAAAGUAUAAAUAGCAAGUGAUAUGUCUCAUCGUACUGAGACAGUUUUAUAAAUGAGGCAAAGGCCUUGUCAAAAAAUAAUGAUGAUUUUCAAAAUUCUGAAACGCAAAGGAGGAAAACUACUUCAUUCAGUUAACAGGAAGCACACAAGAAUCUCCCCAUCAACCAAGAUUUUUUUUUUCUAUAACCCACGCUUUGUAAGACAAUAAUAGCAAAAACUAUAAACUAGAAUUUGUUGAAAGAACAACUUCUAGAAUUUGCCCUUUAUGUGCUGUUUUACCAUUGUCAUGUCUGUCUCUGGUAUGACUUCCUCAUCUAUUAGUAGCCUCCUAAUAAAUUUGAACAAAUGAAUGAAUGAAUAAGAGACAACUAAGCAUGAGGUAUUGCAAGAUGGUAACUCAUCCAGGGAAAAUUAAAACCUGGAGUGGAUCAGAUGGAAAAACAAAAUAAGACACUAGAAAAAAAUCACCAGGAGGGUUUCAAACCAAAAGAUCCCCUGGUUAACCUUCAGCUAAUUAUAAGAUUUAAUUAACUAGAAAAACUCAAUCCUUGUUUAUUCUAUUUAAUUGAGAUUUUACCAUAUUUAAAAUGAUGUUACUCAAGUGUUCUCAUUAAUAUUUAAUGAAAGUGUGAGAGAAUUGGCUAACCAAAUUUACUGUGCUUAGGUAAACUGUAAUUAGGAAGGGUUAGCAGAGCAUCCCAAGGGACCUAUCAAUCACAAAAUGAAGCGAUACAAUUACAGAUGAAUUUCAACAAGGAAACACACAAAACAGUGAUCCUCAAAAAAGAUGGAAUAAAAUUACUUGAAUGUGGUAGUCGGUUCUGAGAAAUGCAAUCAAUCACAUGUCAUUUCAGACAACUCAGAAGGAAUAACCCUACCCAACAGACUUGAACUCUUUGUGUGUGUGUGUGUGUGUGUGUCUGUGUGUGUGAUAGAAUUUCACUCUUGUCGCCCAGGCUGGAGUGCAGUGCGAUCUCGGCUCACUGCAACCUCUGCCUCCCAGGUUCAAGCAAUUCUUCUGCCUCACCCUCCCUAGUAGCUGAGAUUAUAGGUGCCCACCACCACACCCGGCUAAUUUUGUAUUUUUAGUAGAGAAGGGGUUUCACCAUGUUGGCCAGGCUGGUCUCGAACUCCUGACCUCAGGUGAUCUUCCCACCUGGGCCUCCCAAAGUGCUGGGAUUACAGGCAUGAGCCACUGCACCUGGCCCAGACUUGAACUCUUGAUUGCAUGAAAGUGUAUUAAUCUUCUAUCUGCUUAUUCCCAAUUUCCCAGCUGAUAAAAUGCCCCACUGUUAUUUCACUUAAAUUUGGAAUAACCUGCAUCUAGUUAAGUUGGAGCUACUUUGUCUUGUUGCAGAUUUUCUUUUGCUUUGCUGUCUUCAUUCUAACUUGGCAGAGCCCAGGUGCUUUGUCUCUAUUUGCCUGCAAGACCUCUUUUCCAAGACAUGUCAGGUUUCUCUCUAAAGUACCUUCCACCUGGAGGAUAUCUGUUCUUGUUCUUUAAUUCCUGGCCCUAUUUCCUAUUCAUCUGAAAAACUAGGCUUUGUGAGCAGGAUCAUGCAUGGCAAUGAGUUCUAAUGAGUUUUUAAUGUUUCACACUUCAUGAUGAACAUAUAUUUGCAUUUCAGAAAAUGCUUUUAAGGAAUGUUUUUUUUUUUCUGCCCUCACUCCUAACUCAGUUGCCUUUAAGCAAAACCAAAGAGAGCCAUGGCCAGCCUGUUCAAAUGGCUGCAAUCAUUUAAGCCCCUCUCGCUGCACCCUGGCCCCUCUUGCCUCCCUAGCCUGCCCAUGCUUGCCCCUGUCUCAACUUCUACCCCCACUCCAGCUGAAGAGAUUUGCCAUUCUCAGCUUUCACCUUUGGGGAUCCCUCUUGACCAUGGUUAGCAAUUGCUGUGACCAUCCUCACAUCACAGAUUUUUGGGCUUCUGUUUCUUAGGACAAUGCCUGCUCUCCCUGCUAGCCUAUCCCUCAUCCCAGGCCCUCCAACCUCCAGCCACUGCAACUCUAGAGCCACAUCCUAUCCCAUUGACUAACCCAACUGCCAAGCCAAGCCCAAUCCCCAGACCUGGAGCUCAGAGAAAUUAUUAAUCCAAUCAAAGGCACUAAAGUUGGGAUUCUGACUCUGAAGCAGGUACCAAAUUUUGGACAGAGAGGGGCUCCUGAAACCAUACUAUUCCUGCAUUAAGUGUCUGGCACUAGGCAGGGGAUAUGAUGUGAUCUAACAAGGCCAUGCACUGGAAUUAACCUGCGUGAGCUCCACUUGGCUGCCCUCUAAAGGUCAAUGCAUUGUUUGAGCCUAGGGGAGCCAGUCACUGCUACAUCAAUGGCUGCAUCACGGUAUCCUUUUUAGGACUAAACCUGCAUUUUCCUAAUAUUCAGGUCUGUAGAAACUUUGACUGCAAGAAUUUUACAGGAAUGGGUAAAUAUCUGUAAGUACUUAAAAGUAUAUAUGGUAAUAUACAAUAUGAUAGAAGAAAUAAGACCUAAUGUUAGAUAGAUCAGCAGGGUAAUUAUAGUUUACAACCAUCUUUUGUACAAUUCAAAAUAGCUACAAGAGAAAAAGGUGAGUGUUUUUAGCAUAAAGAAAAGACAAAUACUUAAUGGAUAUCCCAAGUAUACUGAUUUGAUAUUUACAAAUUAUACAAAUGUAUUAAAUUGUCAUGUGUACUCCAAAACUAUGUACAUUAUUAUGCAUCAAUUAACAAAAGAUAAAAGUAUGUAUGAAUCAGUAAGUACUUCUAAGGACCUGUAAAUCCAUAUAAGUGCACAUUAGUAUAAGAGAACUAAGGAGAAUUUGAGAUCAGUGUUUACACAGUGCUAGCAUUUUGUUAUCUAAAACACCUCUUUUUCAACUCUAUCAAAGAUUGAAUGCAUUUUUUAAUUCAAGGAAUAUAAUAUUCAGGAUGAUUAUUUUUAUUACAGCUGUGGGCUUUUUCCUUGGGCAUUGAACGCUUCCAUUUAGUUCAACUACUUAUUAUCUUUUCUUCUCCUCUUCUUUUUUUUUUUUGCUUAACUUUCUAUUUCUUUCCCAGUAAUAACAUAUAUUUUCUCAACUUCUUAAAUCUCUUUAUUAGAUACAGUCGAAUGUAAUUUGGAAUUUACGAGUCUUAUCACAUUCUCAUUCUGCUUGAGCAAUUCAAGAUAUAAGAAAAACAGACUGUCUACAUUUCUUCAGAGUUCCUCCAACUAUUGGCUUAAAAUUCCUGAAAUUAAAAUUAUAGUUCUUUGACAUCGCUUCUGUCUAAUCAUUGCUGAUACCUGGAAAACACCAAAUGGCUUACUUACACAGUGUCCCACUCUGAAAUUUCUCACAUAAAGGAUUGUCUUACACAGAAAUACUGACCAUUUUGACAAGGGAAUGGCCCUAGAAUUGGGCCAGAGCUAAAAAUAAGCAGAAUAAACAAUUUUGAUAUUCUUCUUCAAUGGUCAUAAAUCUAGUUAGCAUGUUAUCAUUUACAUAUUAUGAUUUUGUUCAUGAUAGUUGUAGUAGAAUGGCCUAAAGAAAUCAAGAUCUGUUUUAUCUUCUACAUUACUUUAGUUACUGUAAGACUGAUAACUCACAUUGUCGUUUACCAAGUAUUUCCAUUUGUUCCUUGGAAUAAUCCUGUGAAGUGGGUAUUUUUUAUCACUAGUUUCAUAUAAUGAAUAUAUUAC
rnacentral:lncRNA from 1 species